UGGGGAAUAUUGCACAAUGGGGGAAACCCUGAUGCAGCGACGCCGCGUGAACGAAGAAGGUAUUCGUAUCGUAAAGUUCUGUCCUAUGGGAAGAUAAUGACAGUACCAUAGAAGAAAGCUCCGGCUAAAUACGUGCCAGCAGCCGGGGUAAUACGUAUGGAGCGAGCGUUGUCCGGAAUUAUUGGGCGUAAAGGGUACGCAGGCGGUUUAAUAAGUCGAAUGUUAAAGAUCGGGGCUCAACCCCGCAAAGCAUUGGAAACUGAUAAACUUGAGUAGUGGAGAGGAAAGUGGAAUUCCUAGUGUAGUGGUGAAAUACGUAGAUAUUAGGAGGAAUACCAGUAGCGAAGGCGACUUUCUGGACACAAACUGACGCUGAGGUACGAAAGCGUGGGGAGCAAACAGG
rnacentral:rRNA from 1 species